GAUGAACGCUGGCGGCGUGCCUAAUACAUGCAAGUCGAGCGAAUGGAUUAAGAGCUUGCUCUUAUGAAGUUAGCGGCGGACGGGUGAGUAACACGUGGGUAACCUGCCCAUAAGACUGGGAUAACUCCGGGAAACCGGGGCUAAUACCGGAUAAUAUUUUGAACUGCAUGGUUCAAAAUUGAAAGGCGGCUUCGGCUGUCACUUAUGGAUGGACCCGCGUCGCAUUAGCUAGUUGGUGAGGUAACGGCCCACAAAGGCAACGAUGCGUAGCCGAACGGAGAGGUUGAUCGGCCACAAUGGGACUGCGAGACGGCCCAGACUCCUACGGGAGGUAGCAGUAGGGAAUCUUCCGCAAUGGACGAAAGUCUGACGGAGCAACGCCGCGUGAGUGAUGAAGGCUUUCGGGUCGUAAAACUCUGUUGUUAGGGAAGAACAAGUGCUAGUUGAAUAAGCUGGCACCUUGACGGUACCUAACCAGAAAGCCACGGCUAACUACGUGCCAGCCGCCGCCGUAA
rnacentral:rRNA from 1 species